AUUAGGGGUGGUGUGUCACUCAACCAACGGUGAGGGCAAGCUUUCUAACAGUGAUUAGGUGUCUGAAAGUGGUUCAUGGCGGCGCUUAGGGUUCUGGCGUCCCUGUCUCUAUAUUAAGGUUCAUGGCGGAGUUUUGGGAGACGAAGCAUGGAUCGGGUCCAUGUCUUUGUUAUGCUUAACCUUCUUUUCAAAACACACAUAACCAUAGAUUGGAAUGAAAAGGGGAGCCGACCAACAGUUUUCCGGCGAACCGCUACGAGUCCAACUGUAGCGAUGAUGAAGAACCAGGUUGCGGUGACGAUUCGCGGUCUAAUUUCAACCAGCUUCAAAUCUAGAAAGUUUUUAGUAUUCGAUCUAUCAUGCCUACUGUCAGUGUUGGAAGGAACCUUCUUUUCCAAGCCCUAGGGUACACUUACACGCAAGAUGAAUACGACGAGUUACGCUUCGAAUUUGGAAUAGAGCUUGACGAUGUGGUGAGCAUUUGCAUAUCCUUACCCACCUAUGUGCAAAUAAGAUGUGCAUGAUUUAUCGAGUUUUAAAUAUGAUAUACCAGAAGACUAAGAAAACGUUUAUAACA